CGGAGUUGCUACAACCCCAAGUUAAGCACGCGCACGAGGAUACAUAAAGCUCCGAUCAGUGGAGCACAGAUUAAGCGAGUCACCAUGGAGACGGAGGGAAAGAAGGCGCGGUCGACGUAUUUCACAGCGCUCGAGGCGGAAAUUCUGAUGGCAGCAUAUGCCGACAGCAUGCACAUCAUGCAGAAAAAAAGUAACACAGCCGCAGCUGCAAAGGAAAGGGAGCAUGCAUGGCAAAACAUAGCCGACAGAGUCAAUGCGUGAGUGUUAAUUUAAACAUUGAUCUAGGGAUUUCCACCCAUAUAACACGUUAUUUUAUCAUAUGUCAUUCUAUUUAUUAUGUUAUACAUUUUAUUUUGUGAUGUGAUGUGAGCGCAGGUGCAACCCAACAGGCCCCAAACGUUCCUGGCAGCAAGUAAAAAUGAAGUAUAAAAACAUAGUCCAAACAGCCAACAGAAAAAAAGCGGAGGCCCGAAAAACAGGUGGGGGUCCUCCACCACCACCACUCACAGAGGCUGAGCAGUUGGCCCUCAGCCAAAACAGUGGGCGCCCUGUGGCUGAAGGCAUCUCUGCGGGGACAUCCUCUGUGGCAACAACCCCACAAGACACAAGUGCCUACAUAAGGGUUGACGGUGAUGGUGUACUGCAUCUGGUGCAGCCCCCUGUUGAGCCAGACCGACAUGCAGUUGCACAUGAUGACGAAACAGUGACAGCUGCUACAGAGGAGGCCGCAACAGAGCCACACUAUGAGAGUGAUGCUGGAAAUGAAGAGGAAGAGGGUCCAGCCACUCCUACAACGAACCUUUCCACACUCCCUGUGAAGCAGCUGUAUAAGACAUAUCUGGCCAGGAAGAUAAGAAAGUGCGACAUGGAAAUGGUGCACCUCCAGCUGCAGAUCCAAAAGUCGAAGCUGGAGAUUGUACUGCUGGAACAACAGUUAAGGGUGGGUGGAGUGAUCAUAGAUGGACGAAUCAUGUCAGUGUUUGUACAACAUACUAAUAUACGCAUUUAUUCUUUGUGUACAGGACAUACAGGGUGACCAAUAAAGGCAGUUGACCAC
ensembl:lncRNA